UCCGUAGGUGAACCUGCGGAAGGAUCAUUAAAAGUAAUAAGUGCUCCCGGCGCGUAUUAUGUAACCCAUCUGUGUAUCUUACCUGUUGCUUCCGUGGGUCGUUGGCUUCGGCCACUCCUCAAAUGCGGGGAACCCACGGGAGGUCUACAUCAAACCUUUGCUCUCAAUGAUAUCUGUCUGAAUUGUCUCAAUGAGAAAAGUUAAAACUUUCAACAACGGAUCUCUUGGUUCUCGCAUCGAUGAAGAACGCAGCGAAAUGCGAUAAGUAGUGUGAAUUGCAGAAUUCAGUGAAUCAUCGAAUCUUUGAACGCACAUUGCGCCUCCUGGUAUUCCGGGAGGCAUGCCUGUUCGAGCGUCAUUAAAAACCACUCAAGCGUGUUUGCUUGGACUUGGAGGAAGAGCAGCGCCCUCGUGGCGGGUUCCCCUCUGAAAUAUAAUGGCGGAUGAUCCACGAGGACACGGACGUAGUAAGAGCAAUCUCUCGCCGUGCCCUCUGGAUCAUCCCGCCCUCAAUCCCCAAUCACAAUCAUGGUUGACCUCGGAUC
rnacentral:rRNA from 1 species